rnacentral:rRNA from 1 species
AUUGAACGCUGGCGGCAUGCCUAACACAUGCAAGUCGAGCGAGCGGCGGACGGGUGAGUAAUGUAUGGAACACUGCCUGAUAGAGGGGUAUAAAUCCUGGAAACGGUAGCUAAUACCACAUACUAUCCGAUGAACCCAUAUGGGCUUAGCUUGUUGUUGGGGUAAAGGCUCACCAAGGCGACGAUCCCUAGCUGGUCUGAGAGGAUGAUAAGCAAAACUGGAACUGAGACACGGUCCAUAAUCCUACGGGAGGCAGCAGUGGGGAAUAUUGCACAAUGGGCGAAAGCCUGAUGCAGCCAGGCCGCGUGUAUGAAGAAGGCCUUAGGGUUGUAAAGUACUUUCAGCGGGGAGGCGUUACCCGCAGAAGAAGCACCGGCUAACUCCGUGCCAGCAGCCGCGGUAAUUC